UACGUAGGGGUGCGAGCGUUGUCCGGAUUUAUUGGGGCGUAAAGAGCUCGUAGGCGGUUUGUCGCGUCGGCCGUGAAAUCUCCACGCUUAACGUGGAGCGUGCGGUCGAUACGGGCAGACUUGAGUUCGGUAGGGGAGACUGGAAUUCCUGGUGUAGCGGUGAAAUGCGCAGAUAUCAGGAAGAACACCGGUGGCGAAGGCGGCUCUCUGGGCCUUACCUGACGCUGAGGAGCGAAAGCGUGGGGAGCAAACAGG
rnacentral:rRNA from 1 species